CCUGUGGUGUAGCGGUUAACAUGCCUGCCUGUCACGCAGGAGAUCGCGGGUUCGAAUCCCGUCAGGA
rnacentral:tRNA from 1 species